UUUCCAAACCAGGGUUGCGUAGCAUUCAGCUAAGACUGAGUACGCAAAAGCACGCCUGAGCAGAAACACUCGGCUCUUUCAAGUCCAGAGCCCCUCAGAAGAAACAGACCAGACUACUGUUCUCCAUCUCUUAGGGGAUUUGAAAAAACUCAAAGACUGGCCUUUGAGGACGUCAAGAUGUUCAAGAUCUCACGAAAAACAUGAUCUCUGAAGCCCCCAAGAAAGGCCUUCCCUGGCAUCAAGUAGAACAUCCAAGCAUAUGCCUCGGCCAACGAUGGACUGCAGAAGCCCCCUAAGGAGCUACGCUGGCGACAUCAGUAUUAUAUUAUAAUACGGGACCACCCUACAUGAAGUCAGUCCUCGGCCAAGGGACGUCAUGGAGUGCUUGACUGUACCUCGUGGGAAAAGUCAUUAGGAAACUGUGACAGCACAUUAAAAUGCCAUAGGUCUGAGGAGAUGGCUCAGUGGGCAAAGCGUUUACCAUGCAAACACGACGACCUCAGUUCAGCUCCCUAGUGCCCAAGUGAAGAGCCAAGUGUUGACGCUGGAGUGAUAUCUCAGUGGUUAAGAGUGAGUACUGCUCUGGUAGGGAACCUAGUACAGUUCCCAGCACCUGCCUCGGGGCGCUUACAGCCGCCUGUAAACCCAGCCCCAGAGACAGGUGCACAUACCCACAGGGACACAGACACUCGGGUAUAAUAAAAAAAUAAAAUAAAAUAAAAAAGCCAGCUGCUGCCAGACCUAUGAUAUCAAUCAAGAGGCAGAUAGAAGGACCCCUGGGGCUUGCUGACCAGAGAGUCUUGCCAAAUUGGUAAGCCUCAUGUUCCACGAGAGACUCUGUCUCAAAAAAUAAAGUGAGAAGCCGGGCAGUGGUGGCGCACGCCUUUAAUCCCAGCCAGCACUCGG